GGUUGCGAUCAUACCAGCACUAAUGGACCGGAUCCCAUCAGAACUCCGCAGUUAAACGUGCUUGGGCGAGAGUAGUACUAGGAUGGGUGACCCCCUGGGAAGUCCUCGUGUUGCAACCC
rnacentral:rRNA from 1 species